rnacentral:lncRNA from 1 species
UUUUUUAUAAGAACUCAAUUGUAAAUUUUGUCUCUACUGAUGCCAAAUCAUCAUCAAUACAUUAUCAAGAGGGUAGGAGACGCUAUUGGUAAAGGUCACCACCUGACGGUAACUACAAAUCUUUAAUGAAAGAAGUACUAUCGUCUAUCGAAUUCUGAAGAAAGGAAAGGCAAAAACAUGUAGAGAAGACGAAGCAAAUAUCAGCUCUAUGUCCUCACUUUCUUGCUGAGUUGAUUAUUAGCAAAUGCCAGAUCACAGCAGCGAGGGUGGCUAAAUUCUACAACCAUAGUUGGUCAGUGAUCAUGGCGCUAUCUGCUACUUCAAAGAACAUAUGUGGCAUAGAUGCGCUACAGCCUACAGGUGGGAAUCAAUGGUGUCAUAAGAAAACCUAGUCUCCUGCAAUGAGGAAAAGGAACUUCAGAGUCGUACAAAUAGCUGGCGAAGGCUUUUGAGGUAAUAUUAUUGGAAAAACAAACUUGGAGGGCGCAAAACUAUCACGAGCUUGCAAUCGAACUGCUGCCUUCAUUGGACUUGUAUAGAGAGAACAUCACAGCUUUGGUUGAUGAACCAGCUUGCUGCUACCCUUGUAGUUUGUGGCAGUUUUAGUUAUGCAAUAUAGGUUAGUUUGCCGUUCAAUUCUUGGCUCAUGAUAUAGUGAAAUCUAUCAUAUAUUGGUACUAUUGGUCCUAAAAAGUUUCUCCUCUUACAAUAGAUAGGGGUACUGUUGGCUUCUUCUUUGAAAGGAACUCAAAGAACUCCUCUGGUUACGCUCCACUUAGCAGUCAUAUGCAUGAACAGAUUCUGCAGGCAAUCUGUCCAAGUAGUAACCACAUUAAGCUCAUCUUGCAGCACUUGGGCAUAGAACAUUUAUAAAAAAAAUCCAUUUAUCUAUAUCAAGGGCAUUUAUUUUGCAAAUAAAGUGGAUAAAAGAUUAAGUGAGGUUUAACCUCAGUUUCCAGAGCCAAAAAAAAUAUAUACAGGAGUAGUUGUUUUCAGCUUUAACAAAUAGCUAGACUCAAACUCUUAAGGAAAACCCUUUCACAUCAGGAGAUAUAAGAUCUAUGUCCCUCCUGGAAUAUAAGCACCAAUGUUUUCUGAAAUUUAAUGCAUCAAAAAAGAAUAUGCGGAGCAUUUCUAAUUUUCAAAUCAAAGGGUAUAUUAAAGCAGGAAAAAACACAUAGAAAUAUGCGACCAACUUGAAGAUAGCUUAUAUGGACAUUUACACACUUGUAAGUAUUUUCAAAGAAAUUAUAGUAAUAAGAAAACAUGUUUUCUAAUGAGCCACCCGCAGAUUACUAUCAAGAAGACCAUGCAUCUGAAUAUUAGUUGAUUACAGAACAUCAUAUUACUUACCUAAGUGCUGCAUAGACCGGCCAGUAAAUCAUUGCGCGUACCAACAUGGAAGAAAACAACUUAGUUUUAGAAGCAAUAUAUCAUCAAAUAAACCCAAAUAUAAGAAUCAUAUUUCAUUUAUACCACGAAAAUAGAGAGGCAGGCAAGAAGUUCAAAUAUCACAAGUACAACAUUUAAUCUCCAUUUAGUCUUAUUAGUUACUACACAUUGUAAGCUUAUGGUAUUUGACACCAAUCAAAAAAAAAGAGUGCAUGGUAUCUGGAAGAAAGCUAAGAAAAGGAAAUUUCAUUUAAUUGGUCAUAUUAGUAGUAGGUUAUGAUUUUUGUCCAAAGAAGCAACCACAACAAGAUUAUUUAAAAGCAACAGUCAUUGCAAAAAUGGCUUCAAACAUCAUACUUUAUUAGUCCUUAGAUUCGUUUCUAAUAACAUUCUAGAUUCGUUUCUAAUAACAUUCAUUUUAGUAAAUAAAAAGAUAUACCACAAGUGGACAUGAUCAAGCACAUUUUUCAAAUAUGUAUAAUUUUGUGCUUAACCGAGAUUUGUUUUUGAUUAGUUAUAGUUGACCAAGUCUAAAGAGCCUAAUCCAUACUUAUAAGCAAUUGAGUUGAUUCGAUGCCAGAAUCAUAUUUAUCUUUCACGGUUUGUGAUAUGGCCAGACAAUAAUGAAUAGAAACAUUGGCGAUUUGUUUGUUUCCGUCCGCAAGAAAGUCGCAUUUCAUAGAGGUCUAACAUUUUUUCGCACUAUAUUACUCUAUCGUAGUUGUAUUCAACUAAUACUAUAGCCUUUUAUAAGAUACUAAAGUGAAAGAGUGCAUCCAAUAAUGUUUAUGUAAAUCAGUAUAUGUAUGCAUAUUAUCAUCAUCUAUUACAUAAAAUUUUGUUGGCAGAGUCCUCGUAUUACAAAGAGACGAAGUUAGAAUAAAAGACCCAUGAUAUGACUCCUUAAUGAAAGCUUUGGGAAUUUCCAUUACACUACAGUUGUUAUCUACAAUAGUACAAAUGAUAUCUAGAUCGUUCAUUCUUAAGCAGGGUCAUCUAAAAAGAAUAUAUUGAUUUAUCUUUUUCUAAAGCAGAGGAUGAACUGCACUAAUAUAAAUGAGUAUUUCAGAAAAAUUAAAAGAUGCUUGCAGUAUAAAUGCGUCAGGUUGAGUCGAAGCCAAUAAGAUAGGUACUAAAAGUAGAAAUUUUAGUGUACUAAAAGUAGAAAUUUUAACUUCGUUAUUUUUAGGAAUCAGAAUCUUGCAGAGUUUUUGAAGUAGCUAUUAAGUUUGGGAAGGAAAAAAAGGAGGAGAAAGAAAGAAUCAUACAUUUUUCCUCAAGUGCAGUGCUAGGCGCGAUCUAAUUGACAGUGACCAUGGUUAAAAAAUCUAGAUUCACCUCUUUCAGACAUAUCAUCAAACAACACAGCUGUAUAGUCCACUUCAACAUUCCUGUCAUUUUUUUAUACAUCAGAUUUUCCGGUUAGUAACAAAAACAAAUUAAUUAAAAAGAUAAAAUGAUGUGCUGAUCAGGCACACUUACUAACAUGCAUGUAUAACUCUAGCAAGACAAUAUUCAAAUAUCAUAGCAAGCGGAUAUAUAGACACGAAGUUAUUUUAUUGCAAAUAAAGAAAUUGCAAUAAACAAAGAAGGAUUGCGGCCGCACCAAAUACAAAUAGAAGAGAAAUAGACAAUCUUUGGAGAUCUCUGAAAGAAUGAAUACCCAAAAAGAACACAUCCAUUAUACCACAAUCACAUGGCCAAGCACAUGCACAUGCACAUGCACAUUAGCACUCUCAUUCCACUAAGGAACACAAUUUUAAGUGUUGUCAGAGUUCUCACCCCAAAAACCACCGUCACAGACCCAUCAACAGAUUCACCAGAACUGAACAAAAACAAAUCACACAGCAUAUAUAACAUAGAACUGAAAUUGAGAAUUUAGGAAUUUGAAAAAGAAAUCCUCAAUCAAAGAAGGGCAUGCAUGAGUUUUGUUGUACAAAUAGGAAGCAAGGAACUCCACAAUUUACCGUUUUCAACCUAUACAGAAAAGAGCCAUGCCAUAAAAUGUACCAUAUCAGACAAAUCAGCAGAAAAUUGUUAUUCUUUUUCAGAGUAAAGAACAGCGAGAAUAGAUCCGUCACUAAAAGGAAGCGCCGAAGAAAGAAAGGAAACUUCCCAAAGAGAGAUAACUUUGAUGCCGUGAAGGAAAAAGGUAAUUCCAUAGAGAGCGUCGAGAGGGAGAGAGAGUUUC